rnacentral:tRNA from 1 species
AUCCCUGUGGCUCAGUUGGUAGAGCAUGGUGUUUGCAACGCCAGGAUUGUGGGUUCGAUUCCCAUGGGGGGCC